rnacentral:rRNA from 1 species
AACGAACGCUGGCGGCAUGCCUUACACAUGCAAGUCGAACGGUAACGGGCCUUCGGGUGCCGACGAGUGGCGAACGGGUGAGUAAUGCAUCGGAACGUACCAUUGAGUGGGGGAUAACGUAGCGAAAGUUACGCUAAUACCGCAUAUUCUGUGAGCAGGAAAGCAGGGGAUCGCAAGACCUUGCGCUCUUUGAGCGGCCGAUGUCGGAUUAGCUAGUUGGUGGGGUAAAGGCCCACCAAGGCUACGAUCCGUAGCGGGUCUGAGAGGAUGAUCCGCCACACUGGGACUGAGACACGGCCCAGACUCCUACGGGAGGCAGCAGUGGGGAAUUUUGGACAAUGGGGGCAACCCUGAUCCAGCCAUGCCGCGUGAGUGAAGAAGGCCUUCGGGUUGUAAAGCUCUUUCGGCCGGGAAGAAAUCGUGUGGGCUAAUACCCUGCAUGGAUGACGGUACCGGAAUAAGAAGCACUGGCUAACUACGUGCCAGCAGCCGCUGUAA